AACGAACGCUGGCGGCAGGCUUAACACAUGCGAGUCGAACGCCCCGCAAGGGGAGUGGCGGACGGGUGAGUAACGCGUGGGAACAUACCCUUUUCUACGGAAUAGCUCUGGGAAACUGGAAUUAAUACCGUAUACGCCCUACGGGGGAAAGAUUUAUCGGGGAAGGAUUGGCCCGCGUUGGAUUAGCUAGUUGGUGGGGUAAAGGCCUACCAAGGCGACGAUCCAUAGCUGGUCUGAGAGGAUGAUCAGCCACAUUGGGACUGAGACACGGCCCAAACUCCUACGGGAGGCAGCAGUGGGGAAUAUUGGACAAUGGGCGCAAGCCUGAUCCAGCCAUGCCGCGUGAGUGAUGAAGGCCUUAGGGUUGUAAAGCUCUUUCACCGAUGAAGAUAAUGACGGUAGUCGGAGAAGAAGCCCCGGCUAACUUCGUG
rnacentral:rRNA from 1 species